rnacentral:snoRNA from 1 species
AUGACCUUACUUGAACAGGAUCUAUUCCAUAGGCUCGUACCACUAUAUCCUUGAGUUCUAAGGAGACGGGAAACAAAGUCUAGUUGAUGAGACAUGGCUGUUAGACCAGAGCAUGAUUAAUAGCUCCCACGGCCCUCGGAUCAUGACGCAGUUGCCCCUAACCAUGGUUGCUGGGAUGGUCCAAUGGUUGUCUGACAGACU